rnacentral:rRNA from 1 species
GGCGGCAGGCUUAACACAUGCAAGUCGAGCGCUCAGCAAUGAGAGCGGCGCACGGGUGAGUAACACGUGGGAACAUGCCCUUUGGUUCGGAAUAACUCAGGGAAACUUGUGCUAAUACCGGAUAAGCCCUUACGGGGAAAGAUUUAUCGCCAAAGGAGUGGCCCGCGUCCGAUUAGCUAGUUGGUGAGGUAGAGGCUCACCAAGGCGACGAUCGGUAGCUGGUCUGAGAGGACGACCAGCCACACUGGGACUGAGACACGGCCCAGACUCCUACGGGAGGCAGCAGUGGGGAAUCUUGGACAAUGGGGGAAACCCUGAUCCAGCCAUGCCGCGUGAGUGAUGAAGGCCCUAGGGUUGUAAAACUCUUUCGGCGGGGACGAUAAUGACGGUACCCGCAGAANAAGCUCCGGCUAACUUCGUGCCAGCAGCCGCGGUAAUACNAAGGGGGCUAGCGUUGUUCGGAAUUACUGGGCGUAAAGCGCGCGCAGGCGGUCCUUCAAGUCAGA